rnacentral:lncRNA from 1 species
CGGAAUGAUCAGAGGGGGGUUGCUUGCCUUGUUUCUCUACUGCAAAAGGCUGAUCGUGAGAGGCGUAGACAUACCCUACAGCAGCGUCGGUCUUGGUGUCUAGCGGAGAGAAGAGGGGAAAGAAACAAUAAAUACAGGCAAGGAGAUGCAACACGAUGCAUGGCAUGGCAAUAUGCAGUGCUAGGGAUGAGCUAACGUGGUACUACACGUUACUAACGGAGCGGAAAAAUAUCUGACGAUAUUUCCC